CCUGCGACGGGCACUGCUCUACCUGGAUAGCCCACAGGAGCCCCUGCGAGCGGCGGCCGUCAGGAUCAUGGGCAUGCCUGGGAUGGUCACGAUGGGCUGGAAGGAAGAGCUCCAGCUCCUCAAUGAGGCCCUUCAAGGCCUGAGAAGAGAUGACAGCCCUCCCCAAAUGAACAUAGUCAUUCAGCAGAGAAUCAUUGAGAGAUCUGCAGAACUACGUUUAUCUGGUGGCUCAGAAGAACCAUUGCUCCUUAAAGUCCUAAAAACACCAUGGAAGAGGAGAUCAACUUGAGAGGCCAGAAGAGACAGAAGAGACCAGCUGGAGCUUCGGGCACAGCUGAUGAUUGGCACAGCUGAGCCUAUGGGAAGCUCCAAUAGCUCCUGCCUUCUCCCUGCCUGUUGACAACUCCGUGCCUCCCCCCAGCCCUCAGACCCUGCCCGUCCCCUUUCUUCCCUCCCCACUCCUCCCUUUGCUUCACCUUCCAUUAAUAAACAGUUUGGCUUCUUCACUUUGCCUGCAUCCCUGUGGAGCUGAAGCACAUCUGGGGCCCUGGGACACACUGGCCCCUGCUGCCAUUCUCUCCCACAGACCCAGAGGAACGAGGGCAGGUCAGGCUGGAAAGGUCCCUGUGCUGAAGGUGCAGCUCCACAGCACUGUGCAGUUCCACAAUCUUGUUGAGCACACUAAAGGCCAGCAGAGGGACAAGGAGCCUGUGUGUCAGGACCAAAGUCGUGUCUAAGGCCCUGCCAUAUUUGGUCCACUGUUGUGCACGUCAACAAGAUCAUGAAGAGAAGACAAUGAAGGAAACUUUAUGGUUUAACUGGUGGGAAUUUGACUGUAACUGGAAAAACUCCACCCCAGAAGAGGAGAUGUCAGGCCUGGUUAUGGGCUGGAGGGAUGAAAAGGACAAAAUGCCCAUCCUUUUGAUGCAGGGGAUGCCCUGAAUGUGGGUGGCCAGCCUGCUCCUCCCACUGGAGCACCAUGCUGAGAUACCCUGAGAGCAGCCCAGUGCUCCUUGCUCCUCUCUGCUGACCCAUGAGCAUUUGUCUGCUUUCGGGAUGGCCUGGCUGUGUCAGGGCUGCUCCGUGGACACGAGACAGCUGGUCCUGACCCACUGGGUCCCAGAAGUGCCUGGCAGCAGCCCUGCAUCUACAUCAGGAUGCUGGCCAAGAGAGGCCCCGGAAGCUGGGGCGGCUGAUUUGAAGCUUUUGCAGAUACACACAGGGGAUGGCCAGCAGUGUUCCCUCAGGAUUCAGCAGUCCUGAGGGGUCUCCCUAAUUCAAAGAAAUCAGCAGACAAAUGCAUUGCCUUGUAAAAGCCCUUUUAUUGAGCUAGCAGGAAGGCAGGGGGUCUGCACUCCACUAAAAUGCUUCUCUGCCACAUGCAAAUUUCAGUGGGUUGAUGUAGGAAUUAUCUCAAAAUUACAAUCCAUCUUUUCUCUUCUGAGGUGAUUUUAAUAGGCAGCAGGUUAGAAAUACAUUCUGUCAGAUUCCUGUACUUGAAUCUAAUGUCCAGUGCUGGUCAGGAGUAGUCUCCAUGCCCUAGAGGAGUCAGUAGUCAAUGUCCAAUGACAGGCAAGGACAUUGUUCCCUUGGUGCAACAGCAGGAUAGGGGAGAACAUCUUUGGCAGAAAUAUGAAGAAAAGUUUCAAUAAAAUAUCCACAAGAAUGCAGAAGAAGGCGUACUUGGCUGA